rnacentral:tRNA from 1 species
GGUGGGUUGGCCGAGAGGCGAGGCAGCGGCCUGCAAAGCCGUUAACACGGGUUCGAAUCCCGUACCCACCU